rnacentral:rRNA from 1 species
CGAACGCUGGCGGCAUGCCUAACACAUGCAAGUCGAACGAGACCUUCGGGUCUAGUGGCGCACGGGUGCGUAACGCGUGGGAAUCUGCCCUUGGGUUCGGAAUAACAGUUAGAAAUGACUGCUAAUACCGGAUAAUGACGUAAGUCCAAAGAUUUAUCGCCCAAGGAUGAGCCCGCGUAAGAUUAGGUAGUUGGUGGGGUAAAGGCCUACCAAGCCGACGAUCUUUAGCUGGUCUGAGAGGAUGAUCAGCCACACUGGGACUGAGACACGGCCCAGACUCCUACGGGAGGCAGCAGUGGGGAAUAUUGGACAAUGGGCGAAAGCCUGAUCCAGCAAUGCCGCGUGAGUGAUGAAGGCCUUAGGGUUGUAAAGCUCUUUUACCAGGGAUGAUAAUGACAGUACCUGGAGAAUAAGCUCCGGCUAACUCCGUGCCAGCAGCCGCGGUAAUCUGAUGGCGCGAGG